rnacentral:tRNA from 1 species
ACUUGUAGCUCAGUUGGUUAGAGCAACAGACUCAUAAUCUGGAGGUCCCUGGUUCAAGCCCAGGCUCG